AGAUUCUGUUUUUUUUUUUUUCACACAUCCAUUUUUAGGCCCUUCUUGAAAUUCCCAGUUCCUCCCCGAUUCGUCAAAAAAAUCAAAGUAUCAAAGAACCAAUAGGGAAGCUUGAUUGUUGUGGGUCAGAUUCGGCUCAUCCCUUUGGAAAUAAAUUUGUAGAUUUGUCUCCUCCGACCAUCUUCUUUCCUUUACUGUGGGAAAAAAUUUUCCUUACUUUUUUCUAGUCGAGACGCGCUUCCAUAUUGUUGAUCUUGUCUAUUAAUAAACAAAGGAGGCACAAUAACAUUACUCCUGCAAACUCCUCUGGAAACAAAAAAGAGAAUCUGCUGUAAAAUCGAGAAUGGAAGCUCCUGAAAAUAUGAAUAAAACAGCAUGGACUAAAGAAAUGUUGCAUGUCUUUUGUGACCUUUGCAUCAAGGCUAUCGACAUGGGAAUGAGACCAAAUACUCAUUUCGACAAAGCUGGUUGGAAAUAUUUGUUGGCAUCAUUCAAAGAA